UACGUAGGGUGCAAGCGUUGUCCGGAAUUAUUGGGCGUAAAGAGCUCGUAGGCGGUUUGUCGCGUCUGCUGUGAAAAUCCAGGGCUUAACCCUGGACCUGCAGUGGGUACGGGCAGACUAGAGUGCGGUAGGGGAGAUCGGAAUUCCUGGUGUAGCGGUGAAAUGCGCAGAUAUCAGGAGGAACACCGGUGGCGAAGGCGGAUCUCUGGGCCGUAACUGACGCUGAGGAGCGAAAGCGUGGGGAGCGAACAGGA
rnacentral:rRNA from 1 species